UACAGAGGUGGCGAGCGUUAUUCGGAAUUAUUGGGCGUAAAGGGCGCGUAGGCGGCUUGACAAGUCCCGGGUGAAAUCCCUCGGCUCAACCGAGGAACUGCCUUGGAAACUGUCUGGCUUGAGGCCGGGAGAGGGUAGUGGAAUUCCCAGUGUAGCGGUGAAAUGCGUAGAUACUGGGAGGAACACCGGUGGCGAAGGCGGCUACCUGGACCGGUUCUGACGCUGAGGCGCGAAAGCGUGGGUAGCAAAACAGG
rnacentral:rRNA from 1 species